CUUGUGAAAAGACAUGAGAGGUGUAGCAUAAGUGGGAGCAGCAAUGCGCCGGUGAAAUACCACUACUCUUAUCGUUUUUUUUACUUAUUGGAUGAAGUGGAAGCGGACCGCAAGGUCCACGUUCUGGACUUAACUCUCGGCUCCGGACGGGAGGAUCCAAGCCCAAGACACCGUCAGGUUGGGAGUUUGGCUGGGGCGGCCCAUCUGUCAAAUGAUAACGCAGGUGUCCUAAGGCGAG
rnacentral:rRNA from 1 species